rnacentral:rRNA from 1 species
UACGAAGGGGGCUAGCGUUGUUCGGAAUUACUGGGCGUAAAGCGUAUGCAGGCGGGUCGCUAAGUCGGGGGGGAAAUCCUGGAGCUCAACUCCAGAACUGCCUUCGAUACUGACGACCUUGAGUCCGGGAGAGGUGAGUGGAAUUCCGAGUGUAGAGGUGAAAUUCGUAGAUAUUCGGAAGAACACCAGUGGCGAAGGCGGCUCACUGGCCCGGCACUGACGCUGAGAUACGAAAGCGUGGGGAGCAAACAGG